rnacentral:misc_RNA from 1 species
UACGUGAGGUACAAGCGUUACCCGGAUUUACUGGGCGUAAAGUGUUCCGUAGGCGCUUUUGUAAGUUGCACUUCAAAGACCGGGGCUCAACCUCGGAAAGGGGUGCAAUACUGCAAGAGUUGAGAUAUUUCGGGGCUACUGGAACUAUCGGUGUAGGGGUGAAAUCCGUUGAUAUCGAUAGGAACUCCAAGGGCGAAGGCAGGUAGCUAGGAAUAUUCUGACGCUGAGGGACGACAGCUAGGGGAGCGAAUGGG